rnacentral:rRNA from 1 species
UAUUGGACUACCAUGGCUUUCACGGGUGACGGAGGAUUAGGGUUCGAUUCCGGAGAGGGAGCCUGAGAAACGGCUACCACAUCUAAGGAAGGCAGCAGGCGCGUAAAUUACCCAAUCCUGACUCAGGGAGGUAGUGACAAGAAAUAACGGACCGAGGCUCACGCUUCGGGAUUGCAAUGAGUAGAAUUUAAACCCCUUUACGAGGAUCAAUUGGAGGGCAAGUCUGGUGCCAGCAGCCGCGGUAAUUCCAGCUCCAAUAGCGUAUAUUAAAGUUGUUGCAGUUAAAAAGCUCGUAGUUGGAUUUCUGGGAGGUUGCCGAUGUCAGCUUGUUAGCUUGUGCAGACGCGACCUCCCAUCCUUCUGUUAACGAUUCUUGGUAUUCAGUUACUGGUUUCGGGCUCAGAUAUUUUACCUUGAGAAAAUUAGAGUGUUUCAGGCAGGCUUGCGCCGGAAUACAUUAGCAUGGAAUAAUAGAAUAGGACUUUAGUCUCCUUUGUUGGUUUGAGGGACUGAAGUAAUGAUUAAUAGGGAUAGUUGGGGGCAUUAGUAUUUAAUUGUCAGAGGUGAAAUUCUCGGAUUUGUUAAAGACUAACUUAUGCGAAAGCAUUUGCCAAGGAUGUUUUCA